rnacentral:rRNA from 1 species
UACGUAGGGUGCGAGCGUUGUCCGGAAUUAUUGGGCGUAAAGCGCACGUAGGCGGUCCGUUAAGUCAGAUGUGAAAGCCCUCGGCUCAACCGAGGAAGUGCAUCUGAAACUGGCGGGCUAGAGUACUAAAGAGGGUCGCGGAAUUCCCGGUGUAGAGGUGAAAGUUCGUAGAUAUCGGGAGGAACACCGGUGGCGAAGGCGGCGACCUGGGUAGAUACUGACGCUGAGGUGCGAAAGCGUGGGGAGCAAACAGG